UACGUAGGGGCGAGCGUUAUCCGGAUUUAUUGGGUUUAAAGGGUGCGUAGGCGGCUUAGUAAGUCAGCGGUGAAAUUUUGCAGCUUAACUGUAACAGUGCCGUUGAUACUGCCAGGCUAGGAUUUGGUUGCUGUGGGUGGAAUGUGUGGUGUAGCGGUGAAAUGCUUAGAUAUCACACAGAAUAUCAAUUGCGAAGGCAGCUCACAAAGCCAAGAUUGACGCUGAGGCACGAAAGUGUGGGGAUCAAACAGGAUUA
rnacentral:rRNA from 1 species